AGUAAUGUAUGGGGAUCUGCCUGAUGGCGGGGGAUAACUACUGGAAACGGUAGCUAAUACCGCAUAAUGUCUGCGGACCAAAGCGGGGGACCUCCGGGCCUCGCGCCAUCAGAUGAACCCAUAUGGGAUUAGCUAGUAGGUGAGGUAACGGCUUACCUAGGCGACGAUCCCUAGCUGGUCUGAGAGGAUGAUCAGCCACACUGGAACUGAGACACGGUCCAG
rnacentral:rRNA from 1 species